ensembl:misc_RNA
CUGACAGUCCUGAAGACUGGAGUCUGCUGUUUAUCUGCAGAACAAGUACAGCCUGGGCAGUAGCUGUGCAAGCUGUCUCUCUCUGUCCUGUCGUUAUGCCUCAUCCCUCACCUGGAGUGACCAUCUCUUCCUUUGAGAAGGUAGUUCAGCCUUUGCACCCUCUGUAGGGUGAUAAU